rnacentral:misc_RNA from 1 species
UACGGAGGGUGCAAGCGUUAAUCGGAAUUACUGGGCGUAAAGCGCGCGUAGGUGGCUUGAUAAGCCGGUUGUGAAAGCCCCGGGCUCAACCUGGGAACGGCAUCCGGAACUGUCAAGCUAGAGUGCAGUAGGGGAGACUGGAAUUCCUGGUGUAGCGGUGAAAUGCGCAGAUAUUGGGUAGAACACCGGUGGCGAAGGCGGCCUUCUGGACUGACACUGACACUGAGGUGCGAAAGCGUGGGUAGCAAACAGG